CUCUGGAGCCUAAAUGCCUUAAAGGUACCAGAUCCUGACUGAUAAUGGAAGCUAAGGAGGGUCAACACUGCUUAGUACUUGAAUGGAAGACCAGCAAGGAAUACCAGGUGCUGUAAAUC
rnacentral:rRNA from 11 species